rnacentral:lncRNA from 1 species
ACCCUUUUAAUAAUUUGCAUUAUAUCUGUACCGACACAACAAUGGGAACAGUGCAGUUCUGCAAAAAUACAUUGUCACAUCUGAACAUUUUCCAAGUAUAAGGUGAGUACUACUGUCUACACAUGUAGAUAACACAUGUUAAUGUUUUAGGAUAUUUUGCAGUAAUCUUAAAUGACAAAUUUUUUUAUAAUGGAUCCCAUAAAAAGUUGGUGAUUAUUUUUUGUUGGUCCCAACCUUUAUUAACCAUAUUGCUAACUCAGGUGAUUACAGAAAUUAAUUUCUAAAAUUAGUCGAAAUAAAGAAAUAUUAUUUAAUUUCUUUUAAUAAUAAAAGCAUUUCUGAGUAAAAAAAUAGUAGAAAUUAUUUUGUGUGGAAUAGCCAAUCAGUGGCUAAAAAAUUUAGAUAUAAAAGUGGUAUAAGUGAUAUACUUUUAACAUGAUAAUUUUUUGUGUUUUUUAAAAUUGUGUAAGAUAUAUAAAUCAGACCGUCCGAUUUCUGUACCACAAAUUUUUUUAAUUUUUUUUAACACAAAUCGGUCAAUUUGUGUACCUCUCACAAUACAAAUGGAACGGUCUGAUUUUUGUACAUAUACAAAUUGAACGGUCCGAUUUUUACUUCUCUAAUUAAACGAUUUCACCUUUGAGAAUAACACUCUAACCAUCCACAUUUCAAAAAAACACAUUUACCAUUCCAAUAUCAAAAACAAAAAAAUGCCAAUCAGUCACUUAGAAAUUUUUUUGUGACUUUGACAAAGGAAAUAACGACAAAGAAACAAAAUAAAGAAAAGGAGGCACAUAGCGUUAGAAAAAGAAAACUAACUUGUUAAGCAACAUCCGCCUCUGCUCUAAUGAUUACAUCAAGUUCAUUCCUCGAAGACAACUAUUCAGCAUAAUCAAAUGACCCUCGAGCUUCUCGCUUAGCCGUCCAAUCAGCAACACUAUUAUCUUCACGAUGCACAGAUCAAAGUAAACUUUCCAAUUGCUAAAGACAAGUUCUUGAAUUUUCAUCACAUGGUCUCUCUCUCUCUCCUGUUUGAGCAGGAGGUUGAUGGAUUUGAAGAAAGAGAAGAUACAUCUCUAAACAAUCAAUUUCACACACCACCUAUUUAAUGCUACAAUCUCUAGCCAAAACUAUACCUAUCCAAAGAGCAAAAUGCUCGCAUAUGAAAACACUCCAUUUCCUUUAGAAUUU